GACCUGGUGGUGAAUGGUUCACACCCACUUUCCUUAAACGGUACACCAGAGAGAUGAGGUGGGAGUCCCCGGUUCGAUUCCGGGUCAGGUCA